rnacentral:tRNA from 1 species
UCUCUGGUGGUCCAGUGGUUAAGAAUCUGCCUUGCAAUGCAGGAGACCCAGAUUCAAUUCCUGGUCAGGGAA